rnacentral:rRNA from 1 species
AGAGUUUGAUCCUGGCUCAGGAUGAACGCUGGCGGCGUGCUUAACACAUGCAAGUCGAACGAAGCAUAGGAGUGGAAUUUUUCGGAAGGAAACAACUAUGACUGAGUGGCGGACGGGUGAGUAACGCGUGGGUAACCUGCCUCAUACAGGGGGAUAACAGUUAGAAAUGACUGCUAAUACCGCAUAAGCGCACAAAACCGCAUGGUUUGGUGUGAAAAACUGAGGUGGUAUGAGAUGGACCUGCGUCUGAUUAGCUAGUUGGAGAGGUAACGGCUCACCAAGGCAACGAUCAGUAGCCGACCUGAGAGGGUGACCGGCCACAUUGGGACUGAGACACGGCCCAAACUCCUACGGGAGGCAGCAGUGGGGAAUAUUGCACAAUGGGGGAAACCCUGAUGCAGCAACGCCGCGUGAGUGAAGAAGUAUUUCGGUAUGUAAAGCUCUAUCAGCAGGGAAGAAGAGAGACGGUACCUGACUAAGAAGCCCCGGCUAACUACGUGCCAGCAGCCGCGGUAAUACGUAGGGGGCAAGCGUUAUCCGGAUUUACUGGGUGUAAAGGGAGCGUAGACGGCUUGAUAAGUCUGAAGUGAAAGGCCAAGGCUUAACCAUGGAACUGCUUUGGAAACUAUGAGGCUAGAGUGCUGGAGAGGUAAGCGGAAUUCCUAGUGUAGCGGUGAAAUGCGUAGAUAUUAGGAGGAACACCAGUGGCGAAGGCGGCUUACUGGACAGAAACUGACGUUGAGGCUCGAAAGCGUGGGGAGCAAACAGGAUUAGAUACCCUGGUAGUCCACGCGGUAAACGAUGAAUGCUAGGUGUUGGUGGGCAAAGCCCAUCCGUGCCGUCCCAAACGCAAUAA